GGGCGUGUAGUUCAGUGGUAGAACGCUCGAUUCGCAUUCGAGAGGCCGCGAGUUCAACUCUCGCCACGUCCA
rnacentral:tRNA from 1 species